UAAAAAGCUCGUAGUUGAAUUUCUGGUCGUGAAACGUGGUCCGUUCCGCAAGGAAUGUGUACUGUCGAUUUAUGUCCAUCCUCGGUGUUAGUAUGCAUUACUUUAAUCGGUCGUGUAUACAACCACCGUCAUUUACUGUGAGCAAAAUAGAGUGUUCAAAGCAGGCUUAUGCCGUUGAAUAUAUUAGCAUGGAAUAAUAAGAUAUGACUUUGGUCUAUUUUGUUGGUUUGCACUCCAAAGUAAUGAUUAAUAGGGAUAGUUGGGGGUAUUCGUAUUCAAUUGUCAGAGGUGAAAUUCUUGGAUUUAUGGAAGACGAACUACUGCGAAAGCAUUUACCAAGGAUGUUUUCAUUAAUCAAGAACGAAAGUUAGGGGAUCGAAGAUGAUUAGAUACCAUCGUAGUCUUAACCAUAAACUAUGCCGACUAGGGAUUGGUGGUGUUUGUUAUGACUCCAUCAGCACCUUAUGAGAAAUCAAAGUCUUUGGGUUCCGGGGGGAGUAUGGUCGCAAGGCUGAAACUUAAAGAAAUUG
rnacentral:rRNA from 1 species